rnacentral:lncRNA from 1 species
GCGACGGCGGUCUCUUUGAUGUUGAAGGGUUCAAAUUUGUGGCCUACUGACCUACUUACGAUGCGUCCGCCAUCUUACUGGUUGGAAUAUUAAAUGUGCGAAUUUUAAAGCACGUUUAUUUUUCGUGAAAUAAUAGGCAAAUUGUAUAUAUAUUUUCUUUUGGAGUUUUAAUAAUUGCACUUUAAUAAAUUAGGAAAAUUUAUUUUGAGCACAAUCGGAUUCAUCGAACAUAAGUGAGGUUAAGUUAAAGGGAAUUGUAAACAAUAACACCAACCUAUAAGAUGGCGACGCCAGAAAAAUCAAUUAAGGCGGGAUACCCCCAGUGUCCUUUCUGGUUAUUCUGUGCUGGAGUGACAUCUGGACGCCAUUCUGGUUUGCAUUCAAAGCAAUUCAAAGAAGAGUUGAUCUCCAAGAAGUUUCUUUUGUGGUUUUUUCAUAAACAGCGCUGUAGAAAUGUCCGAACAUUGCAUAUGGAAUGUCUCUUGUAACGUGUACGUGAAAACUUCCGUCAAUCGUCAUCGAAAAAAACAAAAAAGAGGUAGAUUUUAAAUUCUGCAUUUCCAAGAUGAUUAAGAACAAGAUGUUGGCAUGGAUGAGGAUGGCGCACCACCAUACUAUGCCCUUCCUGUUUGAGUUUAUUUAAACCAAUUAUUUUCUAAUGGAUGGAAUGGGAGAAGUGACCCGAUUGAUUGGACUGCGAUAUCACCAGAUUUGGCUCUGCCGGACUUCUUCCUUUAAGGACCAAACCAAAUUUUACACCACUGGACCAAACACUUCGGAUGAACAAAAAAUCAGAAUCAGAAGUUUAGCAAAUAAUUCUUGAUACCUUAGAGAAUUGUCAAGAAGAAUUUAAAAAUCGUUUAGGAGCUGCCCAAGGUGAGGUCUUUAAAAGUAUAGAUAGUACCGAUUUGUCUCAAUUGUGCACUAGUUAACGGUGCACUGAAAUUAAAAACACCUUCAAGAAAGUUAUUUUAAUUAGCAAUGUAAUGACACCAACUAUGGUUUUCUUGAAGUCUAACUUUUGAAGACAAUUCCUCAGUUUAACAGUUUGAGUAUGAAUUAGUCUUUGAAUUUGAAGAUGGUCAAUCAUUGUGCAACUAAAAUGGGGCUAUUACGUUAAUAGUAAAUAUUUUGUCUGAUGUUUCAUGGAACUUCCUUCAGUAGGUUUACAAAUUAAUUACGAAAAAGGAAAAUUGAUGCUGAACGUGCCUUUCCACUGUCACAUGUGGGUUGAUAUCAGACCAACAUAAAUUUGUAUAUUAUUUCCACAAUAUGCUGCUGAGAUAAAUUAAUGAUUUCAUAUUUGUGAUAUGUAGUUAGGAACCAGCCUUUUAUGGCUGUGCUAUGGAUUAGGUAGACAAGUGUUCUACAAAGAAUAAUUGCCACAGAGCUUAAGAAUAAUUCUUUGUGGAAUGCAUGUGUACGUGCCAUCUGUACAUUUUGGGAUCUGCUUUUAUGAUAUUUUUUUUGUUAAAGUUCCCAAAAUGUAACUCUUCCUUAUAACUCUGCUUAUUUUCUGUGUACUGGAUAUUAUGUAACUGUUCAAACAGUUAUUUUCAGUCAUUCAAACGUGUGUAUAAGUAACAUUUUUAAAAUUAUAACCAAGAACUCAAAUAUUAAUAAUAUAAGUCUCACCCAAUGUUCUGAAUUUUAAGAAUAUUAUGAUGCUAUAGUAGAAACUAGCGCUCGGAAUUUUACAAAUUUAAGUAUUCG